CCUACGGGCGGCUGCAGUGGGGAAUAUUGGACAAUGGGCGAAAGCCUGAUCCAGCCAUGCCGCGUGUGUGAAGAAGGCCUUCGGGUUGUAAAGCACUUUCAGUGGGGAAGAAAGCCUUGGGGCUAAUAUCCUCGAGGAAGGACAUCACCCACAGAAGAAGCACCGGCUAACUCCGUGCCAGCAGCCGCGGUAAUACGGAGGGUGCGAGCGUUAAUCGGAAUUACUGGGCGUAAAGCGCGCGUAGGCGGUCUGAUAAGCCGGUUGUGAAAGCCCCGGGCUCAACCUGGGAACGGCAUCCGGAACUGUCAGGCUAGAGUGCAGGAGAGGAAGGUAGAAUUCCCGGUGUAGCGGUGAAAUGCGUAGAGAUCGGGAGGAAUACCAGUGGCGAAGGCGGCCUUCUGGACUGACACUGACGCUGAGGUGCGAAAGCGUGGGUAGCAAACAGGAUUAGAUACCCUAGUAGUC
rnacentral:rRNA from 1 species